AGCAGCAUCUUCACUCUCUCUUCCAAUUUAUGUCUUCAACUCCACUCACACUCACCCCUAAAUCCCUAAUCAAAUCUCACUCAAAAUCUCUACAAUUCAUUGUUCAUCUAUCACAACAUCAACCAUUGGAUUGCAUAUCGACACCCUUGCGAUGACGAUAGUGAACGGCGACGGUGGCGGUGAUACCUCGGUGGUGCUUAGAAGAACGGCGGCAACCGCUGCAAGCCCAUCGGAGGAUAGUGUUCUUCCCUUGUGGUUAUCGUCUACGAGGAAUGUUCUCAUUGUUGAAUGCCUUUAAGAAAAUGAGAGAGAGGGGUUUUGGGGAUUUUGGGUUGGGUAGAGACAGUUUCAUCAGCGACCAGUUGAUGAGGCUACUGCUGGUAAUGCAAAAAAAUUCAUCAGGGACAAAGGUUCAAACUUGCUUCCAGGUUCAUGCUACUUCUAAAUGAACACUUACAAGUUUGCAGAGAGAGCAUAAAGCCUUCUGCAUUCCUUGAAGCAGCAUCUUUGGAGUGUUGAGGUCCAAGGUUCGUGGUUACAUCACGGACAUGCAAAUUUCAUUCCCCAGUCGCGACUCUAUGGCCCCUUACAGUUAUAUUCCUCCAUUUGAUUGUUUUAGGGUUUUAACAAGUAGCUCGCUCUCUUGCAUCGUAUUUUAUUUUAUUUUUUCAUUCAUAAACCAAUGUAAUUUUUAUCCUACUGUGGUUGCUGAGUGGAAUUAGUUAUUUUGUCAAUGUUAAUUCUGCACCUCCAAAAGGAGCAGAAUGACUUGCUUGUGGAAAUAGAAAACUGCAUAAAUCUCUUUUGUUAAAGAAAGCAUAAGUUCUUAAGUAAAUAUGCCUCCCUCUUGGCUGGUCCAAGAUUAAGAGUCUAUUUGUUUUUUGGUAAGUAGAGCUUGGAUAAAAAAAGUAGGAAAAAUUCAGUUGGUGAUUAUUUGUGUUAUUUGAAAUUUUGAGAACUCCUUAAUGUGAGCUUGUAUGUUCAAUUUCAUUCAUGCUUAACUAUAUUUUUAGAGAAAUAACUUGAGCAAAGAUUUGACAGAUGAUCUAAUUUAAUUGAAUGAUUCUGGGCCUAAGGUGAAGUGCUUGUCCAUGACCAGUUCCCUUAGCUCAACCAUGUGAGCUACCCAUCCCCCCGUUCAAGCUCUUACAUCGGUGAUGGAGCAGGUUCCGGCCUUUUUACUGAUUGCCUUCUAACUGCUGUUAUGCCCAUUACCAUUGUCCUGUGUUCAGAUUAAAGGAAACACUUCAAAAAUUCCAAGACCAUUGCAGAUCACGGCUUGCAGCUGCCAGUAUUCUGCUACCUACCUCAGGAGGCUUGGGCCAGGCUCACAGGUGUUUAUUCUCUUUGCUAACCAAGGUGGAGGUGAUGAAGAUAAAUGUAUAGCUCUGGUGAUGAUCAAACAUCUGGUGUUUUCACUCGCUCAUUUCAUCUGGGUCUUCAUUAUGGUGAACACCUCUUGCAUUUGAUUCAUGACUAUGGAUGGAUAGAUGGAUGCUUUAAAUGGAGAGUCUGAAAACGUUGAUUGAAAUAUAGGAUGGUGUCUAUUAUGGGUCAUAAUAGUAACAUAUAUAGUAUCUUAGUUGGAUAGAUGAGGAGUAAUACCUGUAUUCAAACAAUAAUAAUGAAAUGUGAUGUGACUGUUGAUCUGAAACUCUUAUUUUAUGGCAGCCAUAUUCUCACAGUGCAGAAUGUCAUUCUGCAGUGUAGUUCGUGAUGUGAGGGACAGUUUUGGGAGCUUAUCUAGGCGGUAGUUUUGAUGUCAGACUUACUGGCCAUCAUAGAGGAAAAUCUCAUGGUUCGCUACAGGAUUUGCAUGACCAGCCUCUAGUAAUUCAAAUUAGUUGCUGGGCAAGCUUACCCCCAGAACUACUAUUUGAUGUCAUUAGACGGCUAGAGGAGAGUGAGAAUACAUGGCCUGCUCGAAAGCAUGUUGUUUCAUGUGCUGCAGUUUGCCAGUCUUGGAGGAGUAUGUGCAAAGGAUAUUGUUAAGAGCCCGGAGUUCUCUGGCAAGCUUACAUUCCCUGUGUCCCUGAAGCAUCUUGGCCACGCGCCCACGCGAUGGGAUCAUUCAAUGUUUUAUCAAGAGAUAAAUCUAACUUAACAUACCACCUGUUCCUUUUCUUAAGCCCUGGUAAGCACUCUAUAUAUACAUGUAGUUGUCCCUUUUGUUUAACUCUGGUUUCUUCUGUUAUGACCCUGUACAUUUUAUCUGAUGUGAUGUUUCAAUUUUUAAACAGUUCAAGUUGUUGAAGUUACAGUUUAUGAAAGCCUCUCCUGUGUAGAGUUUUCAAGUUGAUCAUACCCAAUUUUAAAAUACACCAAUAGAAUAUGAUUUGCUUACAUUGCUUGUGAUUUACCUCAGUUUCAUAAUGUGACUGAGAGCUCAAGAAUCACCACCAAGUAUGUCUUCUAAGCUCUUCAACCUAUAUAUGAAUCGUUUUGUGGUAGUAUCACUAUCCAAUUUGAUAUAUAUUAAACUACCUAGUCUGCCCGACUUUAGAAGACAUGCUUUUGCAACCUGUUUUUUUUGUUUGUGAGAUCUUCAUUUUCCUUUAUGUUCGUAUGUUCAAUUGAAGGUGUUCCUCUACCAUUUGAGGCUGGUGAGAUAGAUUUUGGUGGACUAGGAACUAAUGGGCAGCAUAGCUUUUACCAAACUCAUACACUAGGUGAUAUGAUUGUAGUUCAUAAUUGUUUGUUUGAGCUUUGAAAGGUUUAAUAAACUUCUGUUAAAAGUUUAACAUUAAAAUACUUCUUGUUUGAUAGAUUUACCAAUAUUUUUAGGAGCUUAAAAGCCUAUCCUACUAUAUUUUUUACAGUUAAUUUUAGUUUUGAAAUCAUUAUAAUGAGCUAUGUGCCUAUGUCUACUACUGCAUGUUUCUUUGUAUUUCAGUUCUAUUUUUUUACCUGUUUCGAAUGCUAAUCCUUCAUUCAAAUAAUGGAUUUUGAUAUGGGCAUAAAUUCAGGAAGAAGUUUAAUAGCAUACUUAAAGUCAAGAGCACAUUUUUUUUUCUACAUGAAUUGCAGGUGCAUUUGUUGAAUGCUCACCUGAAGGAAGUACGGUCACUACUCACACUCAAGAAAAUUGUUGUUUUUAUGGCAGCCAGUCUAUAACUGCAACAGAUAUACUUCCUAGCUUGCUGCUUGACCACCCGUUGCCGCCAUUCUCUUCUGUGCUCUUGCAGAUUUGUAUGUCAAGCUUGAUGGUUAAUUCAAUGGUUUACAUGUCACAUUUCAUUCCUUUCUCAUUUUGGACAUGGGCGUUUAAGAAGAUUUGUGCAGCUGCUACGUCCAACUAAAAUUGUAAAGACUCUUCGUGUCAUUAUUUGUCAUCUAAAUACAUGCAGAUGUAGAUAUUGUCUACCCGGUGUUGGCUAAGAUGGAGGAUUGGUGACCUGUUAAUUUUAUAUGAUGUACUACUAGAAUUUUAACCUUUGUAAAUGUGCAAGAAGUCAAAUUGAUUCAAUAAUAAUUCAUGAACACAUCAACUGGACAGCAUAAAAAAACACCCAUUUUCUUGCUGAUUUUUCUUCAAAUUACGUGCGGAUUUGGCUUCAAAAAUAUUCGCAGGAAAAUUUUGUAAGUAAAACCGCAGGAAAGUUUUGAUUUAAAAAUUUUCAAAGAAAAAUUUGUAGUAAAUAGCUUUGCGGGUGUUUUAAACCACCGCUAAAUUCUCAGUAAAAUCCACAAGAAUUUUGAAGGAAAAUCCACAGGAAAAUGAGUGUUUUUAAUGUCUUCCUUUUUGUGUUCAUGAAUUAUUAUUGAAAUUGACUACUGUUUUGAACCAUUUGAGGUUUUAUGCAAUUUAUACUAAGAGGCUUGUAUUGUGUCUUGAAGACAAUUUCUAAUCUAACUGACCAUGGUUUUGAUGGAUCUAUGCUUCAAAUAGUUUUUCAUUUUCAUUUUUUACAUAUCUGCAUACUA